rnacentral:rRNA from 1 species
CUAUAUGAAGUCGGAAUUGCUAGUAAUCGCGGAUCAGCAUGCCGCGGUGAAUACGUUCCCGGGCCUUGUACACACCGCCCGUCACACCAUGAGAGUCGAUAACACCCGAAGCCUGUAGUCUAACAGCAAUGAGGACGCAGUCGAAGGUGGGAUUGAUAAUUAGGGUGAAGUCGUAACAAGGUAUC